rnacentral:rRNA from 1 species
UACGUAGGGGGCUAGCGUUGUCCGGAAUCAUUGGGCGUAAAGCGCGUGUAGGCGGUCCGGUAAGUCCGCUGUGAAAGUCGGGGGGCUCAACCCUCGAAUGCCGGUGGAUACUGUCGGGCUAGAGUGCGGAAGAGGCGAGUGGAAUUCCUGGUGUAGCGGUGAAAUGCGCAGAUAUCAGGAGGAACACCUAUUGCGAAGGCAGCUCGCUGGGACGUUACUGACGCUGAGACGCGAAAGCGUGGGGAGCAAAAGGG